rnacentral:lncRNA from 12 species
AUGUCCCUGGCACCGCCCUCCCCUUCUUCAACCAAAGUGGCUGAUCGAGAUGUUUUCCUAAACAAAACUGUUCUCCCCCUGCUAAAUGCAUUGAAACGUGCCAUCUGGUGUGUAUGCUGGCCUCCUGAGAAAUUGAGUAGUCCAAGCUCGCAGCUGAGACUCAGCUCUUCUCUCCACCAGCUGCCAGGCUGUGGCUCGACCCGGGGCCCCAGGAGGGGAUUUGUCAGAGUAAAGGCCGCUGUGGGCAGCCUCUCGGCAACCGGCCAACAGCCCCUGCUGGCAAUGUGCCACCCCUGUGAACAGCACAGAUCGAGCUUCAGAUGUGCAAGGCCUGAGGAGAAAACAAAAAAGGAUGAUGGCAAGGAGAUGAGAAAAGUUAAACACAGAAAGAAAAUGACUGAGCUGGGGUCUGAACCACCAACCUCAUCUAAGUGUGGCUGCCACCAUUAUAUGGCUCAACUAACUCCCACAGAGCUUAACAAAAAAGUCGGCCUGCUAUGUAAAACCUGUAAAACCUCUGUUUUACACGAGAGAAACGAAAGGUAAGAGAAACUCAAAGAACUUGCACUUUUAGUGGUCCCACUGGGAAUGAAAACUGAGGGUUUUCAGUAUGAGACGUCAUCUCAUACUUCAAUGAGUGCCAGGAAGGAAAGGCUGGGCAUAGCCACCUGCAUCCCACACUGAAGGUUAAGUCCACUUUGAAAAGUUCAAAGGAACAAUGAUCUCAUGGCUUGAACUGGGAGGGAAAGAGGUGUUUGCUUCAUCUUCUACACCAACAUUUUAUUUUAUUUAUUUUAUUUUUUCAAGUAGACUCUACACCCAACGUGGAACUCAAACUCACGACCCAAGAUCAAGAGUUUCGAGUUCCAAAAAAAAAAAAAAGAGUUUCGAGUUCCACUGAUAGAUCCAAUCAGGUACCCCAGUUUUUCAAACAACACACCAUGAUUUAUUUAUUUCAGCAGUCCCUAUUUGAGGGCAAUGGUUCACUAAUAUAGAUAGCACUGCAAUGAACAUUCUUGCAAAUUAUUUUUUCCAAUAAUCCAAAGUGCAGCCCAGAAGUUUUUAUUCUCCGCCACUCCACUGUGCGGUGUUCAAAGGAGGUAUAUUGGGCACAUACCCCAAGCCUGACAGGUUGCCACUGCACCGAAGAGUCCCUGACUGCGUCCACCUAAAUGCUGGCGCUUUAUGUUUAUAACUUCACCUUCUGGUCAUACGGGCCAGUUUCAUCUGCAUCCAACACUUGGUUUCAACUACCUCUCUGCUCUCUGAUGAGCUUCAGCUCAAGAGGAAACAUUUCUUGGGCCACGCUGUCGGCUGCGGCUGCCUCUGCUGUGCCCAUUAUCCAGACAGACGCUUCUUCAGCUCCUGUUCUCAGACAAGUUGGAUUUAGAACCAUGCGGAGCCCUCACCUUUCUGCUUCAUGGAAAUGUUUGUGUGGGUUCCUGGCUUCUUCCCAGGUUAUAUCUGACUGCUCUUUUACCUUUUGGUACCUCUUAUCUCUAAGUGGGGCGGGGGGGCGGGGAGAGGGCUGGAUAGGGCAGUUUUUACACAGCAGGAGUCCAACUGAAUGAAACACUAGUUCCGGAAAUUAACUUUUUAUGUUUUUAACUAGAGCAGAAGUGUGUUUUGUUUUGUUUUGUUUUCAGCUGGGCAUGGAGCCCAACAUACGGCUUGAACUCAUGACCCUGUGAUCAAGACCUGAGCUGAGAUAAAAGUUGAACACUUAGGGCAGCCUGGGUGCCUCAGCGGUUUAGUGCCGCCUUCGGCCGGGGGUGUGAUCCCGGAGACCCAGGAUCGAGUCCUGCGUCGGGCUCUCUGCGUGGAGCCUGCUUCUCCCUCUGCCUGUGUCUCUGCCUCUGUCUCUCUCUCUGUAUCUCUCAUGAUUGGAUAAAUGAAAUCUUAAAAAAAAAAAAAUAGUUGAACACUUAACUGACUUAGCCACCUGGACGCCCCUAGAGCAGGGGGGUUUUAAUUAGGGUACACUGAUGUUGGGAAGGGGAAGACACAAACCCCCUGAAUUAGUGUGCAAAAUCUUUGUGUGAGCGUAAGGAGAGGUUGUUUAUUUUCAUUCCAUUUCCCAAGGGAUCUGGGAUCCACCUAGAGUACAUGGCAGGUCUAAGUGGCCACCAGAUUGGACACUGCACUGUCUGCUCCUUUGCAGACUUCUCUGGCCAAGAACCACCAAUUCUGGACUCCUCCGUUUGUUUCUCUUUCCCAUUCUAGCAGCGGGCUUUCCAUUUAAGACUGUUCAUCACAAAGACCAGCUUUUUGGCCUCCAUGAGCCUUUGUGUGUGUAAGUGGCGGCUGGUGGCAGCUUACAGUAGAGCAAAGGUGGUGGAUCACCUUUGCACCACUGGAUCCUCUGCUUGCUCCCUGUCCCACAGACAGAGGGUCAAAUUCUAGCUGCAAAAAGGAAAAAAAAAGUUAAAAAUUACUUCCUGAACCCCUGGGUUUCUCAUGACCAGCAAAAGCUUUCAGUAUGAAAAGUUGAAAUACCAAGUGCUUGUAUCUGCUUGCCUUCUCUCUCUUUUUAAUUACGUAGUGUCUUCAUUUGCCAGGCUGCCAUAACAAAGAACCAUAGAUUGAGUGGUUUACACAGUAGAAAUUCAUGUUCUUACCAUUCUGGACUCCAGUCCAAGAUCAAGGUGUCAGCAGGGUUAAUUCCAUCUGGGACCUCUCUCCUUAGCUUGCAAUUGGCUAUCUUCUCCCUGUGUCUUCACAUGGCAUUCCCUCAGUGUGUGUCCUAAUCUCUUCUUAUAAGGACAUCGGUCAGAUUGGAUUAGGGUCCGCACCAAUAACCUCACUUAACCUGAAUUGCCUCUUUAAACACCCUCUCUCCAAAUUCAAUCAUAUUCUGAACUACUGGGGAUUAGGACUUUAACUGAUCAAUUUGGGGGGGGGGGCACACAACCACUAACAUCUUUGUUACACUUUUGGAAUUAUAAAAAUCACAUAUAUUCUCCAAAGAAAAUUUAGAAACUUCAGAAAUGGAGAAAUUAAUGAAAGAAUCUCUGCACAAAUCAUUCUUUUUCUUUAAACAUAUAAAAAGCAAAAACAUACCCUUUUCUCCACAUCCACCCCCUCCUCUCCAAAGAACACCCCUAAUAAUGUUUUGUAAUAAUAGGGUCAUGUCCUUUCAAACCUUCUCUGUGCUUGCACAAGCUGCUUCCAGGAAUGUCCUUCUCCCUAAAUCUCUAUCUGUUCAUGCCGCUGUCCUAGAGAACACACCCCUUCUGCUGUGAGUUCAAUCUUUGUGCACCUUCUCACUGACUUUAGAAUUGUUUUGUAGAAGGCUAUACAAAAUGUUAGCAAUGGGAGCUCAGAUUUUUUUUUUUAAGUUUUUUAAAUUUAAAUAAUCUCAGGGCACCUAGGUGGCUGAGUGUCUGCCCUCAACUCAGGUCAUCAUCCUGGAGUUCUGGGAUCAAAUCCCACAGCAGGCUCCCCACAAGGAGCCUGCCUCUCCCUCUGCCUAUGUCUCUGUGUCUUGCAUGAAUAAAUAAAUAAAAUCUUUUUAAAGAAAUUUAAAU